rnacentral:misc_RNA from 1 species
GGUGAGACCACUGCAUAGCAACCAGUCACUAUCUCAUCAAGCUUACUACUAUGUAGCUAUGAAAUUCAAAGACCUUUAUCAAUCCAUCACGGGUCGUAAGCUUUUUGUUUGGCAAGCUAGAGCAAGGGACCGAGUGACUAUUGACGAGGCAUUCAAGUAUAUAAGAGAAGUUGUCAAGUGGGAUGAGGAGAAAGAGGAGAACUACUAUGGUGGACCUGAGGAUUCCUUCUAUAGCACAGAUGUGAGCUCAUCUCCAUUUGUUAGACAACAAUGAUUCUUGUACUAGUUUCAUAGAUAAUGUCUAAAGGAAGCCUAAAAAAGAAAGAAAAAAAC